UACGUAGGGUGCAAGCGUUGUCCGGAAUUAUUGGGCGUAAAGAGCUCGUAGGCGGUUUGUCGCGUCUGCUGUGAAAACUCGGGGCUUAACUCCGGGCCUGCACUGGAUACUGCUCUGCUAGAGGGCUGGAGAGGAGAUCGGAAUUCACGGUGUAGCAGUGAAAUGCGUAGAUAUCGUGAGGAAGACCAGUGGCGAAGGCGGAUCUCUGGACAGCUCCUGACGCUGAGGCGCGAAGGCUAGGGGAGCAAACGGG
rnacentral:rRNA from 1 species